CGUUCUUCGGCUUGGGUUUGGACUUGAUCGGCGAUGAGAGCGAAAAGGCGCUCACGGAGACAAAAAGCGUAGACGCCAACACUGCUGCUGAGGUUGCCGAUACACAAGAAGAUCUUGAUGACACAGCAACGAAAAGUGCAAACGAUCCGUCUGGGAGGGAAGAAACACUGUGGAGGGUUGUUCCUCAUGAAGGUUUUUCGGAAGAUCGAUUGUAGUGGUCGAAGCUGCAGUAUUCAUGCAUGUUGAAGAAGUUGAAAGACUGUAUUACUCGGUAGUGAAGGACCCUUAUUUCACCGUCCCUACCACCAUCAUGGAAACUUAUUUGACCGUCCCCGUCAGAUGGCCCUUGAUGGAGCGACCAGAGAGUUCUCUUCACUGCUAAGUGGAGGUCGUCAGAUCAGAGUCGGCCCUGUUUUGUUUCCCCAUCUCUCGAUCCCUAUUUUGUUCCCCUCACCAGAAACGGACGUAUCUACACGCCUGUACCUUCCAAGCAACACCUACCAAUAAAAAUUGUGGUAAAACCAAAUCCGCUAUCAAUGUUCACUUGAGACUACUGAGAGGAAAAAAAGGAUGAUGCAGAAUACAUUAUAAGAAAUAUCUUUUACUGCGACGGCAGCAA